rnacentral:rRNA from 1 species
GCAUAUCAAUAAGCGGAGGAAAAGAAACUAACAAGGAUUCCCCUAGUAACGGCGAGUGAAGAGGGAAAAGCUCAAAUUUAAAAGCUGUUGUCUUUCAGGCAACCGCAUUGUAAUCUCAAGAAGUGUUUUCGAUUGUAGCCUGCGUAUAAGUACCUUGGAAUAGGUUGGCAUAGAGGGUGAAACUCCCGUCUUUGAUGCAGAUUACUAUGAUCAUGUGAUACACUUUCUAAGAGUCGAGUUGUUUGGGAAUGCAGCUCAAAAUGGGUGGUAAAUUCCAUCUAAAGCUAAAUAUUGGCCUGAGACCGAUAGCGAACAAGUACCGUGAGGGAAAGAUGAAAAGCACUUUGGAAAGAGAGUCAAACAGAACGUGAAAUUGCUGAAAGGGAAGCGUUUGAAGUUAGUCUGAUAGGAGUUGUUCAAUUGUUACUUUGGUUUCAAUGUAUGCAACUUUUUAUCGGUCAACAUCAAUUUUGAUUGAUGGAUAAAGGUAAUAGGAAUGUGGCUACAAUUUGUAGUGUUAUAGCCUAUUAUCAUAAACAUUGAUUGAGAUUGAGGACGGCAGUGUACCUUUUAGGAAGGUGUUCGCACCUAUUACACUAAGGAUGUUGACAAAAUAGCUUUAAGCGACCCGUCUUGAAACACGGACCAAGGAGUCUAACAUAUCUGCGAGUAUUUGAGUGACAAACUCGAAUGCGUAAUGAAAGUGAAUGUAGGUGUGAAGCGUAAGCUGCAACAUCGACCGAUCUGGAAUUUUUAUAAUGAUGGAUUUGAGUAAGAGCAUAUAUGUUGGGACCCGAAAGAUGGUGAACUAUGCCUGAAUAGGGUGAAGCCAGAGGAAACUCUGGUGGAGGCUCGUAGCGGUUCUGACGUGCAAAUCGAUCGUCAAAUUUGGGUAUAGGGGCGAAAGACUAAUCGAACCAUCUAGUAGCUGGUUCCU